rnacentral:rRNA from 1 species
CGCGGCCUAUCAGCUUGUUGGUGGGGUAGUGGCUUACCAAGGCUUUGACGGGUAGCCGGCCUGAGAGGGCGACCGGCCACAUUGGGACUGAGAUACGGCCCAGACUCCUACGGGAGGCAGCAGUGGGGAAUAUUGCACAAUGGGCGGAAGCCUGAUGCAGCAACGCCGCGUGCGGGAUGACGGCCUUCGGGUUGUAAACCGCUUUCAGCAGGGGCGAAGCUUGUGGUGACGGUACCUGCAGAAGAAGCACCGGCUAACUACGUGCCAGCAGCCGCGGUGAUACGUAGGGUGCGAGCGUUGUCCGGAUUUAUUGGGCGUAAAGAGCUCGUAGGUGGUUGAUUGCGUCGGAAGUGAAAACUUGGGGCUUAACCCUGAGCGUGCUUUCGAUACGGGUUGACUUGAGGAAGGUAGGGGAGAAUGGAAUUCCUGGUGGAGCGGUGGAAUGCGCAGAUAUCAGGAGGAACACCAGUGGCGAAGGCGGUUCUCUGGACCUUUCCUGACGCUGAGGAGCGAAAGCGUGGGGAGCGAACAGGCUUAGAUACCCUGGUAGUCCACGCUGUAAACGGUGGGUACUAGGUGUGGGGUCCAUUCCACGGAUUCCGUGCCGUAGCUAACGCAUUAAGUACCCCGCCUGGGGAGUACGG